rnacentral:rRNA from 1 species
UGGGCCUUCGGGCCCGCAUUCCUAUGACGGAGAGUUUGAUCCUGGCUCAGAACGAACGCUGGCGGCGCGUUUUAAGCAUGCAAGUCGAGCGGCAAGGGCCUUCGGGCCCCUA